AUUUGAAAAACUCUUUCAAAUGUCCUGGAUAUGGCUAUGUAAGUGGAUGGGAAUAUUUAGAAGGAUUCGGUGAAAACGUUCGCUGUUGUGAAGAUAAAAACAUAGAGUACACAUUCAGAGACUGCGAUUUACAUUUGGAUGACGCGACAUCACUUGGGAGAACCUAUAGAAUUAAUAAAGGAAAGGUUAUCGUUGGAUUCAACAGUAAAGAUGGCGGAGUAACUUGGAACAACAUAGAAUGCUCAUAUAGAAAACGUCCAACAUAUGGCUGGGGAAAACAAGACGGUUCAACAUUUUAUAAGGGAAAAUAGAUCAAAGAAGAAGAAGAGAAAAAAUGUCGAACUCUAAGUUAACAGCAUAUACAAAUGCCCCCGU